rnacentral:rRNA from 1 species
CAGCCGCCGCGGUAACACGUAGGUGGCAAGCGUUGUCCGGAAUUAUUGGGCGUAAAGGGCUCGCAGGCGGUCUCUUAAGUCUGAUGUGAAAGCCCCCGGCUCAACCGGGGAGGGUCAUUGGAAACUGGGAAACUUGAGUGCAGAAGAGGAGAGUGGAAUUCCACGUGUAGCGGUGAAAUGCGUAGAGAUGUGGAGGAACACCAGUGGCGAAGGCGACUCUCUGGUCUGUAACUGACGCUGAGGAGCGAAAGCGUGGGGAGCGAACAGGAUUAGAUACCCGAGUAGUCCCUGUCUCUUAUAC